rnacentral:rRNA from 1 species
CCUACGGGAGGCAGCAGUAGGGAAUAUUGCUCAAUGGGGGAAACCCUGAAGCAGCAACGCCGCGUGGAGGAUGAAGGUUUUCGGAUUGUAAACUCCUUUUGUUAGAGAAGAUAAUGACGGUAUCUAACGAAUAAGCACCGGCUAACUCCGUGCCAGCAGCCGCGGUAAUACGGAGGGUGCAAGCGUUACUCGGAAUCACUGGGCGUAAAGAGCGCGUAGGCGGGAUAGCAAGUCAGAUGUGAAAUCCUAUGGCUUAACCAUAGAACUGCAUUUGAAACUGUUAUUCUAGAGUAUGGGAGAGGUAGGUGGAAUUCUUGGUGUAGGGGUGAAAUGCGUAGAGAUCAGGAGGAACACUAGUGGCGAAGGCGGCCUACUGGACGGUGACUGACGCUGAGGCGCGAAAGCGUGGGGAGCAAACAGGAUUAGAUACCCGGGUAGUC